AUUUAAAGCUGAACGCUCAGACCUGAAGCUUUCCAAGCUGUCUUAGGUGACCGGGACGCUGCGCCCCGACAUACUGUCCAUCGAAAGUGACGCGUCCGUGUGAACUGCAGAACGUUUAAACCAUCGCAAAUCGCUUAGAAUUUGAGGAACUCUGCACACGAUACGUGCGUUACGAGACUACUGCGCCCCCUAAUAUGGGUAUGAAAAUGCUUGAGUGCUUUCCUUUCUACAGACGCUGCAAAGAAAGUUGCAAAAGACAACCCCCCCCAGACACAGCAGAGACACGUGAAGAUGUGAAAACUCGACUGUCAUCCACUACCUCCUGGGGCAGUGAAGGGGACAGCAGCUGCUCACAUGCAUAUUUUUCCCACAAGGCCCGGCUCUCUCUCCGACACCAGAUGGAUAGCAACAUCAAUGCUGUGGACGCAACAAACUAACUUAUUACUGCAAGCUGUCAAUAGAGAAUCCUUGAAUGUGAACUUCUCUUUCAGUCUCAUUCAGUUUACAUCUCGACACUGAGAGUUAUGGGGGAACCUAGAGGACAAGGAGUUGAGAGGAUGGAAUAACCAGCAUGAGAGCUAUAGUGCUGUAAUAUAGUGCAGUACCACUGAGCAUGCUUCCUGGCAGACAUAAUGUCAGCUGUACUGUAACAAUGUCAAGAUCCGUGUUUUGAGUCCUCUACAUAAUGGUACAGCUGAGUAUAAAUUGGUGAAAGGGAAAAUGGUUCAAAAAACUUGAGUGACUGGUGUUUACAAUGUCAGCAAGGUGUGUUUUGUGUAGCACUUGCCUUCUUCUCUACACAUGUAUCUAACGUAUCUGUCUAAUUUAAGCUGGGUACGUAUUGGUUUUUGUUUGUGUGUUUUUAAGGAUCCAACAAGUUUACGCUGGGCUAGAUACAAUAAGUGUCAACGUAUUUCUCCUUUUGAUCAUAAAUUGAGAGUACACUGUAAGAGCGAAUUAACGUUUUUUUUCUAUAACAUAAAUAGAAAGGUUUAUAAACCUUACAUGGCUUUCCUUAUAAGUGCAAUUGAACCGCUAGAAGCUACACCAGUGUUCCACACCAAGAACUACUAACUUUAGAAUAAUUUUAAGAUAAGAAGGCUCCAAGAACUUUUAGUUUUACUACCUAAGUACUAGUAUGCAGAAGGCCCAGUUUGAAAUUUUAUGUUUUUUUUGUAUUGCGCAUACAAAGUGAGGUGUUUGUCAAGAUUCACUUAUUUAUUAUGCUGCGAAUGUUUGUCUUUCUAACUCUGUUUAUUUUGUUUUUCUUGUGUAUGUUAAGGGUUUUUUGUAAGUCAAAUAUGUUUCUUUGUGUUCCUAACCCAAAAAUUGAGAAUAUUACACUCCUGAAUAGUCAAUUAAUUAAUACUGUUGUAAAAGAUUUCUGAAGAAGGUAUUUCUUCAGAUACCACUUCAGCUGGUUCAUAAAGCAGCAGCACGCCUCGUCUUCCAACAGCCCAAAAGGGCUCAUGUGACUCCCCUUUUCAUCUCUCUUCAGUGGCUACCGGUUGCAGCCCGUAUCAGAUUCAAGUCACUAAUACUUGCCUACAGGACUAUCACUGGAUCUGCACCGGCUUACUUCCACUCUCUCCUGCACUCCUACACCCCAUCAAGAUCCCUGCGUUCAGCAAACCAGCGGCGGCUUGUAUUGCCUUCCCAUAAGUGCAGUAAAUCGCUCUCCCGCUCUUUCUCAUUCACAACUCCUUCCUGGUGGAAUAUUCUUCCUAUCUCUGUCCGUUCAACCACAUCUCUCACAACAUUUAAAAAACUACUUAAAACCCAUCUCUUCUGUGAAUACUUGACAAACAAAUGAGAAAAAAAAAUACACUAAAAAUAACCCUUUCUCUCAACAGGUAGUGGUCUAGCUUUUGUUGAAACCAGUAACUUUGUAUUGGUACCUAAUGUAUUAUGGCUCCUGUAUGAACUAUCGCUUAUUGCUCCUAAACUCUUUGUAAGUCGCUUUGGAUAAAAGUGUCUGCUAAAUGUCUAAAUAUAAAUGUAAAUGUAUUUUU